rnacentral:rRNA from 1 species
UUGACCUCGGAUCAGGUAGGGAUACCCGCUGAACUUAAGCAUAUCAUAAGCGGAGGAA